GGCGGCGUGCCUAAUACAUGCAAGUCGAGCGGACCGACGGGAGCUUGCUCCCUUAGGUCAGCGGCGGACGGGUGAGUAACACGUGGGUAACCUGCCUGUAAGACUGGGAUAACUCCGGGAAACCGGGGCUAAUACCGGAUGCUUGAUUGAGCCGCAUGGUUCAAUUAUAAAAGGUGGCUUUCAGCUACCACUUACAGAUGGACCCGCGGCGCAUUAGCUAGUUGGUGAGGUAACGGCUCACCAAGGCGACGAUGCGUAGCCGACCUGAGAGGGUGAUCGGCCACACUGGGACUGAGACACGGCCCAGACUCCUACGGGAGGCAGCAGUAGGGAAUCUUCCGCAAUGGACGAAAGUCUGACGGAGCAACGCCGCGUGAGUGAUGAAGGUUUUCGGAUCGUAAAACUCUGUUGUUAGGGAAGAACAAGUACCGUUCGAAUAGGGCGGCACCUUGACGGUACCUAACCAGAAAGCCACGGCUAACUACGUGCCAGCAGCCGCGGUAAUACGUAGGUGGCAAGCGUUGUCCGGAAUUAUUGGGCGUAAAGCGCGCGCAGGCGGUUUCUUAAGUCUGAUGUGAAAGCCCCCGGCUCAACCGGGGAGGGUCAUUGGAAACUGGGGAACUUGAGUGCAGAAGAGGAGAGUGGAAUUCCACGUGUAGCGGUGAAAUGCGUAGAGAUGUGGAGGAACACCAGUGGCGAAGGCGACUCUCUGGUCUGUAACUGACGCUGA
rnacentral:rRNA from 1 species